ACCGGAUUACGGGACUUGCGGUGUUCACUCAACGAUAGACAAUCACGAACUACCUGCGGCGAGACUGAUGUUUUAAUUCCAAUCUACGCGUUCGUAUGUGAUUUUACACCUACAAACAUAAAGUAACGAAGAUUAACGAAAACAGUGUUGCCUUGGAUGCAAAACUGUAUAUGAUAUUUUUAUAUCAUACGAGUUAAUCAAUUUUUCCGGAUCAUUCUACUGGUAUACUGGUAUGCUAGUCCCUAUUAUAUCGUUCACGAUUUGAUAACUUCAUUCCUAAACCUUACUCAAUGAUUUCUUUUAUCGCAAACAAACAUUUCGCGCAACUUGACUCGCUCUAUUUGGCGAGGAAACUUAUAGUCGGGUUGUCUUGUUGACCGUCAUCUUUUUUACUGUGGGGUAAACUUAACGAAAAUGCUCCUGCUGUCAUGUCACUUUUUGACAACGAGACGUCAGACCGGAAAUUUUCGCGAUCGCGUCGACGCGUAGUUUUCAAUUCGAGUUACGGUAACGUGAAAAAGUAUUUUAUCCUAAUUUCUAAACUAAUCCUAAGCGUUAAUUCGAUCGACUAGUGUAUCCCUGAUUGAAGCUGACCUGAAUAAUCACGGAUCGGUCGCGGUUUUUAAUCGGCAACGUAGCAGAGUGUGCUCGGUCACGACAGAUUCUGUUGUGACAUCACGCUCGUCCGGAUCUUCCAGCGAAGGGAUUUCUAAACUUCCAUCUUCUACUGGUUCCCGUGAGGAUUCCUGGACGGCACUAUCCAGAACAAUGUUAAAAAUGUAUGGACUGAAGAACUCGAUGUCUAAUGUUUGGAUUGACCUAUCUGUCGCCAAAAGUGCCUGCGGGUUAGCCAAAUUGCCAUCCACGUUAUCGCCUAUUGUGAGUCGUAUGUCAAAUGCCCGCCAGAAGUCGUAUCCACAAAUUAAAUCCUUCGACACGUCCGGAAUAAUGACUGUUGGAAUCACUUUCGUCACUUGAUUGAAAGUGAAUGGUUCCAUCGUUUGACCAUAUCCAGUGAGCUAAUAACGGAAAUACUAGCCCCUGAAUCUAGUAAACCUUGUACCGGAGUGCCGAGAAUAUGGACCGUAAUAUGUGGGCAGGUAACUGGAUUUAAGUUCAUGGUAAAAAUUUGAUUGAAAUAGUCAUAGUUGGGGAGUUGUUCAGAAUUACAAUUAGGAGAAAGAGAGUCCCCGAUUCCUUCUCCUAAUUCUCGUUUUUUGAAUCGAAUUUCUGGUAGUGAUCUCUAGGGCACGUGGCCUUACUGACGUUCGGUUCACCGCAUGCGAAGCAGUACAUCCGUCGUGGUUGCUGGCAAUAUUUAGCAAAAUGCCCUGCACUUCUACAAU